rnacentral:lncRNA from 1 species
AGGACUGAGCCAUUUCUCAUGUAUAUUCUAUUUAUUGCUGGAAGAAAUGAAGCUGAUGAUCCCAUAAGAGUCUUAUAGAAGCCAGUGAUCUCCUUUUUUAUAUCUGCAGCUGUAGUGACUUUGUCUCCCAUUACAUUUAUAAGUUCUUUGAUCUGUUUAUUCUUAGUUCUUUCUUUCAGGACUGCAGUAAAGUACUUGGUAUUAGUAUCUCCAAGUUGUAUCCAUUUUGCUCUAGCCUUCUGCUGUAGGACACUUUCUUCAAUU